rnacentral:rRNA from 1 species
UACGGAGGGGACUAGCGUUGUUCGGAAUUACUGGGCGUAAAGCGCACGUAGGCGGCUUUGUAAGUUAGAGGUGAAAGCCCAGGGCUUAACCCUGGAAUUGCCUUUAAGACUGCAUCGCUAGAAUCGUGGAGAGGUAAGUGGAAUUCCGAGUGUAGAGGUGAAAUUCGUAGAUAUCGGGAGGAACACCGGGUGGCGAAGGCGGUUCUCUGGGCCUUACCUGACGCUGAGGAGCGAAAGCGUGGGGAGCGAACAGG